rnacentral:rRNA from 1 species
UACAGAGGUGGCAAGCGUUGUUCGGAAUUACUGGGCGUAAAGGGCGCGUAGGCGGCCUUCUAAGUCAGACGUGAAAUCCCCCGGCUUAACCUGGGAACUGCGUCUGAUACUGGGAGGCUUGAGUAUGGGAGAGGUAAGCGGAAUUCCUGGUGUAGCGGUGAAAUGCGCAGAUAUCGGGAGGAACACCGGUGGCGAAGGCGGUUCUCUGGGCCUGACCUGACGCUGAGGAGCGAAAGCGUGGGGAGCGAACAGG